rnacentral:rRNA from 1 species
AGGGGGGUUGGAUGCUGGUCCCGAGAGGGGCAAGUGCGCGCCCCCYGUUUCAAGUCCCUACACACCUGUGCACCUAGCGAGCGUCCUCCCUGUUUGGAGCCGUUUGAGGGACCCCCCGGUCCCCUUGAACCGAGGCGCUCCCUCCUACAUUUGUAAUAACCACCCUUACGAUGCAUGUCUGGGCUCUACGGAGCAAAAAAAAAGUAAUACAACUUUCAACAACGGAUCUCUUGGCUUUCGCAUCGAUGAAGAACGCAGCGAAAGUGCGAAACGUAAUGUGAAUUGCAGAAUUCAGUGAAUCAUCGAAUCUUUGAACGCAUCUUGCGCCCCUUGGUAUUCCGAGGAGCAUGCCUGUUUGAGUGUCGUGAGGUCUCUCAAAUCCCCGUUUCUCUGGGGUUUGGAUUUGGACGUUUGCGGGGGGGGCUCCCACCGCUCGUCUUCAAAUGCAUCAGCUGGCCUUUAGGAGUCGGUGCCAAUGACGGUGUGAUAAUGAACGCUUCGUUGAAUGUGGCGCCGUUUGGGGCCGACUCUGAACUUGGGGUGGCUUACAACCGUCUUCGGACAAACACAUUUCAUGUCAUCUGACCUCAAAUCAGG